rnacentral:rRNA from 1 species
CCAAAAAUUUAGCCUCACCUCCUUCACUCCACAAAAACCUAAACAAAAUAUUGUAACAGUCUAGUAAAGAAGAUUAAAAAACUAUUUAGAGCUAUAUUCAUGUACCGUAAGGGAAGAAUGAAAUAAAAAUGAAACAAAUUUUAAGCACAGAAUAGUAGAGAUGCCCCCUCGUACCUUUUGCAUCAUGGUUUAGCUAGUUCAACUAGGCAAAAAGAUUUUUAGUCUAGCAUCCCGAAACUAAGCGAGCUACUUUACGGCCGCUUAAUGAGCAAACCCAUCUAUGUUUCAAAAUAGUGGGACGACCCUAAAGUAGAGGUGACAGACCUAACGAGCUUAGUUAUAGCUGGUUUCUCAAGAAAAGGAUCUAAGUCCAACCUAAAACAAUUUUAAUUCUUAUAAAUACCCCAUAAUCUUUUAGAGCAAGUCAAAUAAGGUACAGCCUAUUUGACCCAGGACCCCACCUUAACCUAAGGGUAACACUUGUCCCAUCACUAACAAGUAGGCCUAACAGCAGCCAUCUUUAAAAAAGCGUCAAAGCUUACCCGUGAUAAUCUUAAUUCCCCCACCUACACGGACCCCUUCAACUGUACUGAGAACUCCUAUAAGUUAUAGGAGAUUUUAUGCUAAAACUAGUAACAAGAGCUCAAAUCCUCUCUCAAUGCAAACUCAAGCCAGCAAGGACCCACCACUGACCCCUAACAAACUAAAUUAAAGUAGCAACUCUUCUAGAAAACCCUACCUAACCUUUUGUUAACCUUACACAAGAGCAUUCUAAGAAAGAUUAAAAGAAAAAGAAGGAACUCGGCAAACAUAAACCUCGCCUGUUUACCAAAAACAUCGCCUCUUGUCUACCACAUAAGAGGUCCAGCCUGCCCAGUGACUCUUGUUCAACGGCCGCGGUAUCCUAACCGUGCGAAGGUAGCGUAAUCACUUGUCUUUUAAAUAAAGACUAGUAUGAAAGGCACCACGAGGGUUUAACUGUCUCCUUUUUCUAAUCAGUGAACCUAAUCUCCCCGUGAAGAAGCGGGAAUUUUUUUAUAAGACGAGAAGACCCUAUGGAGCUUUAAACAUUAUUACAUUGCUUCUUCCCCAGACCACUCCGGUCCUACCCUCGUAGCAAAAUGAUAAGAUGUUUUUGGUUGGGGUGACCGCGGAGAAAAAAAGAUCCUCCAUGAUGUAAAGGAAAAAUUCCUAAAAUAAAAGCCACAACUUUAAAAAUCAAAAAAUUGACAUCUUGACCCAAUAUAUUGAUUAACGAACCAAGUUACCCUAGGGAUAACAGCGCAAUCCACUUUGAGAGCCCCUAUCGACAAGUGGGCUUACGACCUCGAUGUUGGAUCAGGGUAUCCUAGUGGUGAAGCCGCUACUAAGGGCUCGUUUGUUCAACGAUUAAAACCCUACGUGAUCUGAGUUCAGACCGGAGUAAUCCAGGUCAGUUUCUAUCUAUAAAGAGCUUUUUUUAGUACGAAAGGACCAAAAAAGCAUGGCCUAUACUACCUUAUGCCAUACUUAAUUAUUUCAGAGCCCCCCUGAAGAAAUUUUCAAUCUCUCACCACAUUCAAGAAAAGAAUA